rnacentral:rRNA from 1 species
CCUACGGGGGGCUGCAGUGAGGAAUAUUGGUCAAUGGACGAGAGUCUGAACCAGCCAAGUAGCGUGAAGGAUGACUGCCCUAUGGGUUGUAAACUUCUUUUAUAUGGGAAUAAAACGUUCCACGUGUGGGAUUUUGUAUGUACCAUAUGAAUAAGGAUCGGCUAACUCCGUGCCAGCAGCCGCGGUAAUACGGAGGAUCCGAGCGUUAUCCGGAUUUAUUGGGUUGAAAGGGAGCGUAGGUGGAUUGUUAAGUCAGUUGUGAAAGUGUGCGGCUCAACCGUAAAAUUGCAGUUGAAACUGGCAGUCUUGAGUACAGUAGAGGUGGGCGGAAUUCGUGGUGUAGCGGUGAAAUGCUUAGAUAUCACGAAGAACUCCGAUUGCGAAGGCAGUUCACUGGACUGCAACUGACACUGAGGCUCGAAGGUGUGGGUAUCAAACAGGAUUAGAUACCCGUGUAGUC